GGAGCUUGGUGCGGAGGGCAGUGCUUCCUAUGAGAAAAAGUCCAGUGGUCAAUCUUUUGGGAAGGAGCUGGUGGGAUGAGGGGGCAGCUGGACUGACCUGAGUGCUGUUGUACUGUCUGACCAUCUCCUUUGUAAACAGACGCUCCACACUCAUGCUCAGAGCAGCAUUAUUCACAGCAGCCAGGAGGGGGACGUCGCCCAGGUGUUCCUCGGUGGAUGAAUGGAUAAAGAAAAUGUAAACACACAGUGGAAUCUUACUCAGCCUUGAAAAGGAAGGAAAGUCCAUCCAACACAUGCUACUGCAUGGACGAACUUUGGACAGUGAGCUAAGUGAAAGGAGACAGUCACAAAAGGACAAAUACCAGAUGAUCCCACCUGCGCGAGAUGAUAUGCACUGUUCGUUUACGGCGGCAAGAGAGCUCAAUUAAUUUCUGAGGGAGGACGGCAGGAUGCGACCCCUUGUGCGUGGCCUAGGAGGAACUGUCCCUGUGUGAAUUUAUGUUCUGGUAAUUUAAAAAGAUUUAUAUUAAGCUUUUCUUUCAUUUUGAGAGUAGAUUAAAA
rnacentral:lncRNA from 1 species